rnacentral:rRNA from 1 species
AUACGGAGGGUGCGAGCGUUAAUCGGAAUCACUGGGCGUAAAGCGUGCGUAGGCGGUUCGGUAAGUCAGAUGUGAAAGCCCCGGGCUUAACCUGGGAACUGCAUUUGAUACUGUCGAGCUAGAGUUUGGUAGAGGGAAGUGGAAUUCCCGGUGUAGCGGUGAAAUGCGUAGAGAUCGGAAGGAACAUCAGUGGCGAAGGCGGCUCUCUGGACCAAAACUGACGCUGAGGUGCGAAAGCGUGGGUAGCAAACAGGAUUAGAAACCCUAGUAGUCC